rnacentral:rRNA from 1 species
AUGUGCUACAAAGCCGGAUGUAUGCAUCAACUGAUGACCUGCACAAUUGAAAAAUGGCUACAUUUCCUUGAUGCUAGUACAAAUGCGUUUCUUAUGCUUUAUAUGGUUUUUAUAAAUAUUUUAACCAUUUUUUCCCAUACUCAAAUGGCCGCUGCCAUGAGGUUUUCCCACCGAAUACAGAUCUUCAUCCCCCUCUGCUUCCUGACAUGGUCUUCUCUGCAUCUGCCUCGUGCUACUGCGAUUUCUUUUAACUCCAACUUCUCCGACCCCGACUACGACGCACAAGAUUUCAGUUUCCAGGGUGACGCAUACUACGACGCCCAGUCUCGCAUGAUCCAACUCACAAGAAACGGCGAUGGCACAAGCGUCAAGAACAGCGUAGGCCGAGCGUUCCUUGUGACGCCCAUGCCGCUCUGGGAUACUGUCACGGGCGAGCUCGCCCGCUUCACCACCUCCUUCACCUUCCAAAUCAAGGUAAACAACGCAAACACUGGCGAUGGCUUGACAUUCUUCAUCGGGCAUUAUCCAUCGGCGAGCAUUCCCAAUGUCAAACGUGAGAUGGGCGGCGGGAAUCUCGGCCUCUUCAACACAUCCCCCGGCACGGUCGCAACCAGCGAUGACCGAGCCGUGGCGGUUGAGUUCGACACAUACUUGAACGAUGGCUUUGACACCAGCAGCAGUCACAUGGGCAUUGAUGUCAACUCCAUUGUCUCAUGGGCGUACACCAACGCGACCGUGCCUCGUAGGAACCUAACGUCUGGCCUCCCAAUGACUUGCCACAUCAGCUACGGUAACGACACGAAAGUCCUAGCGGCCGUUCUCCAGAUCGGCGACACAACAUACCGUGUCAACACCAGUCUUGACCCGAGGCAAUUCUUGCCUAGUGUGGUGGCCAUCGGCUUCUCGGGUGCCACCGGUGUGGCUGUCGAGCUACACCAAAUAAUGUCAUGGUCAUUUGACUCAACCUUGGACCCGCGGCCUGCACCGAAGAGCCCCCCUCCUACACCAAAGAUCCUGCUAGUGGAGGUAAUAACUGGACCAGUUAUUGGAGUUAUAACAAUUGUGUGCAUCUUUGUUGGCGUCCGUCGAUGGCAGCUAUGCACGAGAAAGAAGCGUUAUAGAGCUCUCGCCGGGGGCAUUGGACAUAUUGGUUAUCGUAAGUUGGCGCAUGCGUCCAACAAAUUUGCAGAGGAAAACAAGCUCGGGGAAGGAGGCUCUGCCUCUGUUUAUCGGGGCCAACUGGCAAGUCCAAGUAGACCGGUGGCGAUAAAGAGAUUCAAGCUGGCAGAAUCGGGUGAGGAGAGGAAAGCGUUUGAGGACGAACUCAGGAUUGCCAGUCGGCUGAGGUACCGGAACCUUGUCGAAUUGAUAGGCUGGUGCUAUGACGGCCAAAGGAACUUGGUUGAGUUUAUAUGUUGGUGGCGGGAUGACAGGUACACACGUCUCUUCCUUGUGUAUGAGCUUUUGCCACAAGGCAGCCUUGAUCAACACCUACACAAGGGAAACAGUUGGUUAGCAUGGUCCAAGAGGUACGAGAUCAUCCUCGACCUAGGGUCUGCGCUGCAAUACCUCCAUGUAGACUGCGAGCAAGGCCAACAAUGUAUCGUACACGGUGAUAUCAAGUCCAGCAACGUGCUUCUUGGGUCUUCAUACAAUGCCAAGUUAGGUGACUUCGGAUUGGCAAGAUUUGUUCACCACGAAACUGGGUCGCAGACCACUGAUGUCGUGCAAGGCACUUACGGAUAUAUUGACCCUGUGUUCGUGGACACGAGCCAACGGAACAGGCAGUCAGACAUCUACAGCUUCGGUAUUGUUCUACUAGAGAUGGUCUCUGGAAGGGACCCAACAACGCGCCUCCAUGAUAUGCCUCCAUUGUCGUCGUGGGUAAGAAGUUUGUACUACAACAAUGCGGUCCUUGAGGCCGCAGAUGACAGGCUGAUAGGCGGCGAGUCCAGUACCGGGCGACAACAGAUGGAGCGUGUGCUACUUGUCGGGCUCUUGUGCGUGCACCAGGACCCGAGCAGCCGGCCGUCCAUCACCCACACCAUGGAUGCCCUG